AGAGUUUGAUCCUGGCUCAGGACGAACGUUGGCGGCGUGCUUAACACAUGCAAGUCGAGCGGUUGAGAGGUGGGAGUUGAGAAGUUAGAAGUGGGAGAAAGAACGGGUGAGUAACGCGUGGAUAAUCUGCCUGUAAGACAGGGAUAACGCCGGGAAACCGGUGCUAAUACCGGAUAACCUCUUUUUAUCGCAUGGUCAAAAGAGAAAAGGUGGCCUCUUAACAAUGCUACCGCUUACAGAUAUUAGCUAGUUGGUGAGGUAACGGCUCACCAAGGCGACGAUCAGUAGCCGGCCUGAGAGGGUGAACGGCCACACUGGAACUGAGACACGGUCCAGACUCCUACGGGAGGCAGCAGUGGGGAAUAUUGGGCAAUGGGGGAAACCCUGACCCAGCAACGCCGCGUGAGGGAAGAAGGCCUUCGGGUUGUAAAGCUCUGUCCUUGGGGAAGAAAAAAAUGACGGUAGCCAUGGAGGAAGCUACGGCUAACUACGUGCCAGCAGCCGCGGUAAUACGUAGGUAGCAAGCGUUAUCCGGAUUUAUUGGGCGUAAAGAGCUUGUAGGCGGUUGGAAAAGGUCUAUGGUGAAAGUGCGGGGCUCAACCCCGUAUGGCCAUAGAAACUGAUAGACUUGAGUGCAGGAGAGGGCAAUGGAAUUCCAUGUGUAGCGGUAAAAUGCGUAGAUAUAUGGAGGAACACCAGUGGCGAAGGCGGCUGCCUGGCCAGAUACUGACACUGAGGUGCGAAAGCGUGGGUAGCAAAUAGGAUUAGAUACCCUAGUAGUCCACGCUGUAAACGAUGUAUACUAAGUGUUGGGAUGGUUAAUCGUCUCAGUGCCACAGCUAACGCAAUAAGCAGACCGCCUGGGGAGUACGGUCGCAAGAUUAAAACUCAAAGGAAUUGACGGGGGCCCGCACAAGCGGUGGAGUAUGUGGUUUAAUUCGACGCAACGCGAAGAACCUUACCAAGGCUUGACAUCCUGUGACAGCCAUAGAAAUAUGGACUUCUUAGUUUACUAAGACACGGAGACAGGUGGUGCAUGGUUGUCGUCAGCUCGUGUCGUGAGAUGUUGGGUUAAGUCCCGCAACGAGCGCAACCCCUACAGCUAGUUGCCAGCACGUAAUGGUGGGAAAACUCGCAGAAGACUGCCGCCGAAAGGCCAGAGGAAGGUGGGGAUGACGUCAAGUCCUCAUGGCCUUUAUGAUUAGGGCUACACACGUGCUACAAUGGCUGAUACAAAGGGAAGCGAAACUGCGAAGUUAAGCGAAUCCCUUAAAACAGGUCCCAGUUCGGAUUGUAGGCUGCAACUCGCCUACAUGAAGUCGGAAUCGCUAGUAAUCGCAGGUCAGCAUACUGCGGUGAAUACGUUCCCGGGUCACACCACGAAAGUCGGUCACACCACGAAAGUCGGCAACACCCGAAGCCGGUGACUCAACUCGAAAGGGAGAGAGCCGUCGAAGGUGGGGUUGGUAAUUGGGGUGAAGUCGUAACAAGGUAACC
rnacentral:rRNA from 1 species